UACGGAGGGUGCGAGCGUUGUCCGGAAUCACUGGGCGUAAAGGGCGCGUAGGCGGCUCAUGAAGGCUGUGGUGAAAGUCCGGGGCUCAACCUCGGAUCGGCCGUGGCGACUCGUGGGCUGGAGCACUGUAGAGGCGGGUGGAAUUCCGGGUGUAGCGGUGGAAUGCGUAGAGAUCCGGAAGAACACCGGUGGCGAAGGCGGUCUGCUGGGCAGUUGCUGACACUGAUGCGCGACAGCGUGGGGAUCAAACAGG
rnacentral:rRNA from 1 species